AGAGUUUGAUCCUGGCUCAGAUUGAACGCUGGCGGCAUGCUUUACACAUGCAAGUCGAACGGUAACAGGCCGCAAGGUGCUGACGAGUGGCGAACGGGUGAGUAAUGCAUCGGAACGUGCCCAGUCGUGGGGGAUAACGCAGCGAAAGCUGCGCUAAUACCGCAUACGAUCUAUGGAUGAAAGCGGGGGACCGUAAGGCCUCGCGCGAUUGGAGCGGCCGAUGUCAGAUUAGGUAGUUGGUGGGGUAAAGGCUCACCAAGCCGACGAUCUGUAGCUGGUCUGAGAGGACGACCAGCCACACUGGGACUGAGACACGGCCCAGACUCCUACGGGAGGCAGCAGUGGGGAAUUUUGGACAAUGGGCGCAAGCCUGAUCCAGCAAUGCCGCGUGCAGGAAGAAGGCCUUCGGGUUGUAAACUGCUUUUGUACGGAACGAAAAGGCUCUGGUUAAUACCUGGGGCACAUGACGGUACCGUAAGAAUAAGCACCGGCUAACUACGUGCCAGCAGCCGCGGUAAUACGUAGGGUGCAAGCGUUAAUCGGAAUUACUGGGCGUAAAGCGUGCGCAGGCGGUUUUGUAAGACAGGCGUGAAAUCCCCGGGCUCAACCUGGGAAUUGCGCUUGUGACUGCAAGGCUGGAGUGCGGCAAAAGGGGGAUGGAAUUNCCCGUGUAGCAGUGAAAUGCGUAGAUAUGCNGAGGAACACCGAUGGCGAAGGCAAUCCCCUGGGCCUGCACUGACCUUAUGCACNAAGCGUGGGGAGCAACAGGAUUAAAUACCCUGUAGUCCACGCC
rnacentral:rRNA from 1 species